GAUGAACGCUGGCGGCGUGCCUAAUACAUGCCAGUCGAGCGAACAGACGAGGAGCUUGCUCCUCUGACGUUAGCGGCGGACGGGUGAGUAACACGUGGAUAACCUACCUAUAAGACUGGGAUAACUUCGGGAAACCGGAGCUAAUACCGUAUAAUAUAUUGAACCGCAUGGUUCAAUAGUGAAAUACCGUUUUGCUGUCACUUACAGAUGGAUCCGCGCCGCAUUAGCUAGUUGGUAAGGUAACGGCUUACCAAGGCAACGAUGCGUAGCCGACCUGAGAGGGUGUCCGGCCACCCUGGAACUGAGACACGGUCCAGACUCCUACGGGAGGCACAAGUAGGGAAUCUUCCGAAAUGGGCGAAGUCCUGCCGGAGCAACGCCGGGGGAGUGAUGAAGGUCUUCGGAUCGUAAACCCCUGUUAUUAGGGAAGAACAAAUGUGUAAGUAACUAUGCACGUCUUGACGGUACCUAAUCAGAAAGCCACGGCUAACUACGUG
rnacentral:rRNA from 1 species